rnacentral:rRNA from 1 species
GGACGAACGCUGGCGGCGUGCUUAAUACAUGCAAGUCAACUUGACUUAGAUAGCAAUAUCGAAAGUAGGGUGGCGCACGGGUGCGUAACGCGUAGGUAAUCUGCCCUGAGGUCUGACAUAACCCGUCGAAAGGCGGGCUAACAUCAGAUGAUAUAUAAUCACGACAUCGUGGAAAUAUCAAAUCUUCGGAGCCUUGGGAUGAGCCUGCGUCUGAUUAGGUAGUUGGCGGAGUAAUAGCCCACCAAGCCUACGAUCAGUAGCUGGUCUGAGAGGAUGAUCAGCCACACUGGAACUGAGACACGGUCCAGACUCCUACGGGAGGCAGCAGUAAGGAAUAUUGCUCAAUGGGGGGAAACCCUGAAGCAGCAACGCCGCGUGAAGGAUGAAAUACUUUGUAUGUAAACUUCUGUAAGAUGGGAAAAAUAUUCUCCUCGGGAGAAUUGAUUGUACCAUCAGAGUAAGCCCCGGCUAACUACGUG